UAGGGAAUCUUCGGCAAUGGACGAAAGUCUGAUCGAGCAACGUCGUGCGAGUGUAGAAGGUUUUCGGAUCGUAAAACUCUGUUGUUAGAGAAGAACAAGGACGUUAGUAACUGAACGUCCCCUGACGGUAUCUAACCAGAAAGCCACGGCUAACUACGUGCCAGCAGCCGCGGUAAUACGUAGGUGGCCAGCGUUGUCCGGAUUUAUUGGGCGUAAAGCGAGCGCAGGCGGUUUCUUAAGUCUGAUGUGAAAGCCCCCGGCUCAACCGGGGAGGGUCAUUGGAAACUGGGAGACUUGAGUGCAGAAGAGGAGAGUGGAAUUCCAUGUGUAGCGGUGAAAUGCGUAGAUAUAUGGAGGAACACCAGUGGCGAAGGCGGCUCUCUGGUCUGUAACUGACGCUGAGGCUCGAAAGCGUGGGGAGCAAACAGG
rnacentral:rRNA from 1 species